AAACCAAGAAAUUUAGUCAUUCUUUCAUGGUAAAAAGAUAGUUAGGCAAAUAUGUGAGUAAAACUAUUAGAUCUUUAGUAAAGGAGUAAAAUCUAAAUACUAAAAGUUAUACCAAAUGUAGUUUAUUUAAGACGUUGAAUCUGUGACAGCUUUAAGGGAAACUGGGAUUGGAUACCCCAUUAUUUUUAGUUAUAAAUUUAGUUUAUGCUUACCGGAGUACUACGAAUAAAAAGUUUAAAACUCAAAGGGCUUGGCGGUGUUUUAGACCUCUCAGGGGAACCUGUCUCGUAAUCGACAAUCCACGUUAAACCUAACCUUUUGUAGUAAUACAGCUUGUAUACCGUCGUCGCCAGGUAACUUCUUAAAAUAUAGUAGUUAGCGUGAUAAUUUUUAAAUUAAAACGUCAGAUCAAGGUGCAGCUAAUAAGAAGGUGAGGAUGGGUUACAAUUACAUAUUUGUAAAUACGGAAUAACACUUGAAAUUGAGGGUUUUAAAGGAGGACUUGAAAGUAAUUUUGAUUAUAUAAGCAAAAUGAAUACGGCUCUGAAACGUG
rnacentral:rRNA from 1 species